rnacentral:rRNA from 1 species
UGGGGAAUUUUGCACAAUGGGGGAAACCCUGAUGCAGCGACGCCGCGUGAGCGAAGAAGGUUUUCGAAUCGUAAAGCUCUGUCCUAUGAGAAGAUAAUGACGGUAUCAUAGGAGGAAGCCCCGGCUAAAUACGUGCCAGCAGCCGCGGUAAUACGUAUGGGGCGAGCGUUGUCCGGAAUUACUGGGCGUAAAGGGUACGUAGGCGGUCUAUUAAGUCAGGUGUGAAAGCGUGAGGCUUAACCUCAUUAAGCACUUGAAACUGAUAGACUUGAGUGAAGGAGAGGAAAGUGGAAUUCCUAGUGUAGCGGUGAAAUGCGUAGAUAUUAGGAGGAACACCGGUGGCGAAGGCGACUUACUGGACACAAAUCUGACGCUGAGGAACGAAAGCGUGGGUAGCAAACAGG